UGGGGAAUAUUGGACAAUGGGGGGAACCCUGAUCCAGCCAUGCCGCGUGUGUGAAGAAGGCCUUAUGGUUGUAAAGCACUUUAAGCGAGGAGGAGGGUACUGGUAUUAAUACUACCAGGUACUGGACGUUACUCGCAGAAUAAGCACCGGCUAACUCUGUGCCAGCAGCCGCGGUAAUACCGAGGGUGCGAGCGUUAAUCGGAUUUACUGGGCGUAAAGCGUUCGUAGGCGGCUAAGUGAGUCGGAAGGGAAAUCGCCGGGGUUAACUUGGGAAUUGCAUUCGAUACUGGUUAGCUAGAGUGUGGGAGAGGAUGGUAGAAUUCCAGGUGUAGCGGUGAAAUGCGUAGAGGUCUGGAGGAAUACCGAUGGCGAAGGCAGCCAUCUGGCCUAACACUGACGCUGAGGUACGAAAGCAUGGGGAGCAAACAGG
rnacentral:rRNA from 1 species